GUCUACGGCCAUGCCACCCUGAACAAGCCCAAUGUCUGAUCUCGGAAGCUAAGCAGAGUCGAGCCUGGUUAGUACUUGGAUGGGAGACCAUCAGGUGCUGUAGGCA
rnacentral:rRNA from 1 species